CGCUCCGCGGCAUGUGGGAUCCUCCCAGACCGGGGCGCGAACCCGGUUCCCCUGCAUCGGCAGGCGGACGCGCAACCACUGCGCCACCAGGGAAGCCCUCUCCAUUCUAUUUCCAAGAUUUUCGAUCAUCUUUACUAUCAUUGCUCUGAAUUCUUUCUCAGGUAGACUGCCUAUUUCCUCUUCAUUUGUUUGGCCUGGUGGGUUUUUACCUUGCUCCUUCAUCUGCUGUGUAUUUCUCUGUCUUCUCAUUUUGGUUAACUUACUGUGUUUGGGGUCUCCUUUUUGCAGGCUGCAGGUUCAUAGUUCCUGUUGUUUUUGGUGUCUGCCCCCAGUGGGUGAGAUUGGUUCAGUGGCUUGUGUAGGUUUCCUGGUGGAGGGGACUGGUGCCUGUGUUCUGAUGGGGCGGGCUGGAUCUUGUCUUUCUGGUGGGCAGGGCCAUGUCCGGUGGUGUGUUUUGUGCUGUCUGUGAACUUAGUAUGAUUUUAGUCAGCCUCUCUGCUAAUGGGUGGGGUUGUGUUCCUGUCUUGCUAGUUGUUUGGCAUGGGGCGUCCAGCACUGGAGCUUGCUGGCCGUUGAGUGGAGCUGGGUCUUAGGGUUGAGACGGAGAUCUCUGGGAGAGCUCUUGCCGAUUGAUAUUACGUGCGGCCUGGAGGUCUCUGGUGGUCCAAUGUCCUGAACUCAGCUCUCCCACCUCAGCGGCUCAGGCCUGACAGCAGGCCGGAGCACCAAGACCCUGUCAGCCACGUGGCUGAUUAUGGAUACUGAGAAGUCCAACAAUCUGUGGUCUGGGAGCUGGAGACUCAAGAAGCCAGUGGUGUAGUUCCAGUCUGAGUCCAGAGGCCUCAGGAGUGCCAAUGGUAUAAGUCCCAGUCUCUAAUAUUUUCUACUGAUUCAAGUGGGAAUGCCAAGGUAUUCUUGCUUCCAGUCUGAUUCAACCUGCAGAUAUGGAUCAAGUUUGGGGCAACCUACUUAACAGGGCUAUGAUGAAUCAUUCUUGAUACACGCCGAAUUGGAUAUUGUACAUAAGUAAUUUGAAGCCAAGUCAUAUAGAGAGUGCUUGAGGGCUCUAGGGAGUCUGGUUUGAGAGGUGUAAACACAGGAAGGACAAGCACCUUUUAGAAGAAUGCAGGGUGAGGGAGUCAAAAUGGAUUUUAAAUAUAAAAUGUAAAACUAUGAAACUUUUAGAAAAAAAGAGGAGAAAAUCUUUGAGCCCUAGGUCUAGGGAAAGUGUUCUUUAACUUGAAAGCAAAAGCACCAUCCAUAAAUGGAAAAACUGAUAAAUUGGGCCUCAUCAAGAUUAAAAGCCUUAAUCUAUGAAACAGAAACAGACUCACAAACAUAGAGAACAGGCUUGUGGUUGCCAAGGGGGAGGUGGGGAGAGAGAGGAUUGGAUUGGGAGUUUGGGACUAGCAGAUCCAAACGAUUAUAUAUAGUAUGGAUAAACAACAAGGUCCUAUUGUAUAGCAUGGGGAAUUAUACUCAAUAUCCUGUAAUAAACCAUAAUGGAAACGAAGUUUUUAAAAAGAUUAAAAGCUUUUGCUCUGUCUGUUAAAGAGGAUAAAAAGACAAGCUACAGACUGGGAGAGAAAUAUUUGCAACCCCCAUAUCUGACAAAGAAUUGCUAUCUAGAAUAUAUAGAGAACACUCAAAACUCAACAGUAAAAAACCAAACAUUCCACUUAGAAAAUGGGCACAAGAUAUGAACAGACAUUCACCAAAGAAGAUAAACAAAUGGCAGAAAAGCACAUGAAAAGAUGUUAAACAUCAUUAUCCAUUGGAAAAAUGCAAAUUAAAACCACAGUGAAAUAUUACUACGCACUUAUCAAAAUGGCUAAAAUUUUUUAAAGUGACAACACCAAAUACUAGCAAGGAUGUGGAGAAACUGGAUCACUUGUACAUUGCUGGUGGGAAUGCAAAACAGUGUAGCCACUCUGGAAAACAAUUUGGCAGUUUCUUAAAAAAUUAAACAGGCAACUACCAUAUGACCUAGAAUUUGCACUCCUGGGCGUUUAUCCCAGAGAAAUGAAAACUUACGUUCGCACAGAAACCUGUACAUGAAUGUUCAUCGCAGCUUUAUUCAUAAUAACCCAGGAGUGGAAACAACCCAGGUGUCCUUCAAUGGGUGCAUGAUUAAAGAAACUGUCGUGCAUCUAUACCAUGGAAUAGUGCUCAGCAAUAAUUGGAAAGGAUUACUGAUGCAACAGCUUGGAUGAAUCCCAGGGGAAUUGUGCUGGGUGAAAAAAGACAGUCCUUAAAGGUUACAUAUUCUAUGGUUCCAUUUAUAUAACAUUCUUGAAAUGACAAAAUUAUAGAAAUGGAGAUCAGAUUAGUGGUUGCCAGCAGUUAGGGAUGAGGGGUGAGAAGGGAGAUGGGUGUGGCAGUCAAAGGGCAGCAGGAGGGAUCCUUGUGGUGAUGAAACUGUUCUGUAUGUUGACUGUCUUAAUGUCAAUACCCUGAUAUCUUGAUAUCAGUAUCCUUGAUAGCGUACUACAGUUUGGCAAGAUGUUACCAUUGGGGCAAACUGAUUAAAGGGUUCACCAGAUCUCUGUAUGAUUUCUACAAUCAUCUCAAAAUAAAGUUUAAUUUUAAAAAAGUCUUUUGUACACACAGAACAACAAUAGAGACAAAUAGAGACUCUUCCUGAGGAGAAUCAUCAAGGUGGCCCUAGGCUGAUGAAGCAGGUAUCAUCUGGAAUGUUACUGGCAGCAGAAAGUUGAUGGCAGAGAGAAAAGAGCACUCUGGAAGGUCUCGUACCAGAAACAAAAUACUCAUUUUCACAGUGAGGCUGGGCGUUCCCAGAAAAGAGAGUUGGAAAUUAGAAGAGUGUUUUGGAGAGAGAUUGGUGUGCUGAUUUCCUCAGAGCCCAUUUUCCAUUCAUUGGCUACAAAAGAGGUUGCACAUUGAUAUCACUUGUGAAAUUGCUAAUUUCUACGAGGACAGGAAUUAGGAUUUCUUCAAAGAUUUAUGCUGGCGGUUUCUGCUUUCUUUUGGGGGUGAGGUAGAGGGAUGGACUAUAUUAUUGCUGAAACAUGAAGAGAAGGUAAAGUGUUGUUUUAUAAGGCAAGUCCUAUCCUGCUUGUGUCAAAAUGGCUUGUGAUAUGCUGCAAAGGACACCAUCAAGAAAGUAAAAAGACAGCCUACAGAAGAGGAAAAAGUGUUUGCAAAUCACAUAUCUGAUAAGGGCCUUGUAUCUAUAAUAUAUAAAGAGCUUUUGCAAUUCAAUAAUAAAAAGACAAAUACCCUGUUUGUAAAAGGGUAAAGGGUUUGAAUGGACUUUUCUCCAAAGAAAUUA